UACGGAGGAUCCGAGCGUUAUCCGGAUUUAUUGGGUUUAAAGGGUGCGCAGGCGGGAGAUUAAGUCGGCGGUGAAAUUUUGCAGCUCAACUGUAAAAGUGCCUUCGAAACUGGUUUCCUUGAGUGUAGAUGAAGUAGGCGGAAUUUGUGGUGUAGCGGUGAAAUGCAUAGAUAUCACGAGGAACUCCGAUUGCGCAGGCAGCUUACUAAACUACUACUGACGCUCAGGCACGAAGGCGUGGGGAUCAAACAGGAUUAGAUAUCCGGGUAGU
rnacentral:rRNA from 1 species